UUCGGGCUCCGGCCCGAUCCUCCCACCCUUUGUGUACCUACCUCUGUUGCUUUGGCGGGCCGCGGUCCUCCGCGGCCGGCCCCCCUCCCCGGGGGGUGGCCAGCGCCCGCCAGAGGACCAUCAAACUCCAGUCAGUAAACGAUGCAGUCUGAAAAACAUUUAAUAAACUAAAACUUUCAACAACGGAUCUCUUGGUUCUGGCAUCGAUGAAGAACGCAGCGAAAUGCGAUAAGUAAUGUGAAUUGCAGAAUUCAGUGAAUCAUCGAAUCUUUGAACGCACAUUGCGCCCUUUGGUAUUCCGAAGGGCAUGCCUGUUCGAGCGUCAUUACAACCCUCAAGCUCUGCUUGGUAUUGGGCACCGUCCUUUGCGGGCGCGCCUCAAAGACCUCGGCGGUGGCGUCUUGCCUCAAGCGUAGUAGAACAUACAUCUCGCUUCGGAGCGCAGGGCGUCGCCCGCCGGACGAACCUUCUGAACUUUUCUCAAGGUUGACCUCGGAUCAGGUAGGGAUACCCGCUGAACUUAA
rnacentral:rRNA from 1 species